rnacentral:rRNA from 1 species
GGUUACUGCUAUCGGUGUUCGCCUAGGCCAUGCGAGUCAUAUGUUCGUAAGAACAUGGCGUACUGCUCAGUAACACGUGGAUAACCUGCCCUUGGGUCCGGCAUAACCCCGGGAAACUGGGGAUAAUUCCGGAUAACGCACAUAUACUGGAAUGCUUUAUGCGUAAAAUGGAUUCGUCUGCCCAAGGAUGGGUCUGCGGCCUAUCAGGUAGUAGUGGGUGUAAUGUACCUACUAGCCUACGACGGGUACGGGUUGUGAGAGCAAGAGCCCGGAGCUGGAUUCUGAGACAUGAAUCCAGGCCCUACGGGGCGCAGCAGGCGCGAAAACUUUACAAUGCGGGAAACCGUGAUAAGGGGACACCGAGUGCCAGCAUCCUAUGCUGGCUGUCCGGGUGUGUAAAAUACACCUGUUAGCAAGGGCCGGGCAAGACCGGUGCCAGCCGCCGCGGUAACACCGGCGGCCCGAGUGGUGAUCGUGAUUAUUGGGUCUAAAGGGUCCGUAGCCGGUUUGGUCAGUCCUCCGGGAAAUCUGACAGCUUAACUGUUAGGCUUUCGGAGGAUACUGCCAGACUUGGAACCGGGAGAGGUAAGAGGUACUACAGGGGUAGGAGUGAAAUCUUGUAAUCCCUGUGGGACCACCUGUGGCGAAGGCGUCUUACCAGAACGGGUUCGACGGUGAGGGACGAAAGCUGGGGGCACGAACCGGAUUAGAUACCCGGGUAGUUCCAGCCGUAAACGAUGCUCGCUAGGUGUCAGGCAUGGCGCGACCGUGUCUGGUGCCGCAGGGAAGCCGUGAAGCGU